UACGGGGGGGGCAAGCGUUGUUCGGAAUUACUGGGCGUAAAGGGUUCGUAGGUGGCUCGCUAAGUCAGACGUGAAAUCCCUCAGCUUAACUGGGGAACUGCGUCUGAGACUGGCAAGCUUGAGUGCAGGAGAGGAACGCGGAAUUCCAGGUGUAGCGGUGAAAUGCGUAGAUAUCUGGAGGAACACCGGUGGCGAAGGCGGCGUUCUGGACUGUAACUGACACUGAAGAACGAAAGCCAGGGGAUCAAACAGG
rnacentral:rRNA from 1 species